GGAUGUGAGGGCGAUCUGGCUGCGACAUCUGUCACCCCAUUGAUCGCCAGGGUUGAUUCGGCUGAUCUGGCUGGCUUGGCGGGUGUCCCCUUCCUCCCUCACCGCUCCAUGUGCGCCCCUCCCGAAGCUGCGCGCUCGGUUGAAGAGGACAGAGGACGACCUUCCCCGAUAGAGGAAAGGACCGUUCUUCGGUCAAGGGUAUACGAGUAGCUGCGCUCCCCUACUAGAACCUCCAAACAAGCUCUCAAGGGUUAGGACCCACACUAAUGGCCUCAUGUUAACUUUACCACAUCUUUAUUUUUUUUUACCACAUUUUA
rnacentral:snRNA from 1 species